rnacentral:rRNA from 1 species
UGCAGUCGUACGAGAAUCAUUAGCUUGCUAAUGAGAGUAAAGUGGCGAACGGGUGAGUAACACGUGGGUAAUCUGCCCUUGAAUCGGGAAUAAUCCGCCGAAAGACGGACUAAUACCGGAUAACAUCCGCUUAACCUUGGUUUUGCGGAUCAAAGACAGCCUCUUAAUUAAAGCUGUCGUUUAAGGAUGAGCCCGCGCACCAUUAGCUUGUUGGUAAGGUAAAAGCUUACCAAGGCAACGAUGGUUAGCUGGUCUGAGAGGAUGAUCAGCCACACUGGAACUGAGACACGGUCCAGACUCCUACGGGAGGCAGCAGUGAGGAAUUUUGCGCAAUGGGGGCAACCCUGACGCAGCAACGCCGCGUGAGUGAGGAAGGGUUUCGGCUCGUAAAGCUCUGUCAAGCGGGAAGAAAAUAAUAAUAGUUAAUAACUAUUAUUAUUGACGGUACCGCUGAAGGAAGCACCGGCUAACUCCGUG